UUAGAUCUCCUUCCUCUGACCAAGCCUAAUUAUAUGAAGCUUCUAAAUACAAAAAUUUAAAAUAAAUAAAAAAAUUUAUUAAUACUGCUUGACUUACCUGCUAUGAUGGCCGUAAUAAUGAGCUCAGCUGAUCACGUAGAUGUGGAUCCCGAAGAAUCUCAAUAAUUAUAUUGCGGACGGCAUCCCAAAAGCUCUAAGAUCGUUGGUAAAAAAGCUUCUAUACAACCUCUUCAACAUGUGCAUCACCCUACGUCUGGAUCAUUGAGGCC
rnacentral:lncRNA from 1 species